UUGCUAAUAUAGUUGUCAUAUAUGGCUUGUGUCUACCAAAAUGUAAAUUUUGUUUUCAUUAAUGCAUUUUGUGAAUUUGUACCUCUAUCUUGAUAUUUUCGUUCUUGCAAGAUUGCAUAUGCGAAUCCAUUCAGUGUCAUGUAGAGCUGUCUAUGAGUGUUGAUGCUUGCACCUUGCUAGUUACAAUACACCUUUCCUCUGGAAAUAUUUUCAUGAAUCUUUCUCUUAUUCUUCCAUGUCUAAAAAUGCACCAAAUUAUAUUGCUUUCACUGAACCCAUUCUACACUACAGAUUGGGAUAGAGUCUUAGUUGCAUUGAAAUUUUACAGAUCCUAGUCUUAGUUGUAUUGGACUAUUACAUUAAUCUUUUUUAUCGGUUUUACAAUAGGUCAUACUAAGAGGUAGCACCUCUGCAAGUGAUAAUUGUUUCUGACUAAAGCUAGGUGAUGAUUUUGAUCUUAGGUAGGCCAGUUUCGCGUUCAUCUCAUACCAAAAUUCAGGCAUUUCACUCUUUUACCUAGUUGUUGGUUUUAGCACAUACAAAGUUCUACCACGGUGUGAUCUGAAAACUCAAACUGACAUUUGACAUUUUGGCAUCAUAAUUUCAAAGCAGAUCAUAAUUAAUCAUUUCUCAAUUGACCUUAAAACUGAAAGCAAAUUUCAUAAAGCCAAACAGUUUUGUUCUUUCACCUCAACUUUAAUUAAAGCCAAGAUUUUCCAUUUAGUUUUUGUCCUCUGAUUUGAUGGAAGGAUACUAGAAGGUUACACACACACACGCGCACACUCUGAUUCCAUAAUUAUGUUAGAUUGGAAGGUUUCUAUUACUCAAUAAACUAGAUUACAUUCCAAGCCAAACUUAAAUAGCAAUGCCUAAGUACUUGCAGUGUAGGAAAACUGCUAACUGCAUUUUUCAAAAACUUUUAUAAGAGCAACGUUAUUCUAGUAUAUAUUUGUGUAUAAAAGGAAAGCAGAAUCUGGUUUCACAAUCCAUUUUUUGUAUAAUCAGUUUUGCCUUUUCUUUGUGUUAUGAUUGCAUAAAAUCCAUGUUCUUCCUCAACCCAAAAUUUACAUCUCAGCAUAAAUAUUUACACACAUGAAAGGGUGUUCUGUAUAGCAUGUCUUUUAUACAUAACUUUUUUGCAAUAUGUUCAUAGUGCUUUCCAAUCCAGAAAAUCAAUUGGCUUUAUGUUCAUAGUUGUCUUAUGAACUCACUGUUCUUGGAACUUGAUUGGGAUUUUACUUUGCAAUUUUCUGGUUGUUCUCAAUUUUUAUUUGUUUAAUUCUAAAUUUACCUGGUGUGACUAUAUAUCCAAGUAUACUCCUAUAUCAGGUCCAGAUUCCAAGGGAUAUUUUGACUUAUUAAUUAAGGUGUUGUCAAGGCAUGACUAUAUUUCAUGUUUCUUUCCUUUUAUCGAAACUGUAUAUAGGUGUAUCCAGAAGGGAAAAUGAGCCAGCAUUUUGCAAGCUUAAAACCAGGAGAUGUAGUCUAAGUGAAGGGGUAACCUAUAUUUACCAGUGGCAAUGAUAGGUAGAGGAUACACUCUAAGUUAUCUUAUAAUGAGGUGUAUCUUUUCUUGCAGACCCAUUGAAUAACUGAGAUAUGUUUCCAACAUGAAGAAUCAUAUUGGCAUGAUUGCAGGUGGUUCUGGUAUUACUCCAAUGCUUCAGGUCAUUCACUCUACACUAAAAAAUCUUGAUGACACAACCAAGGUGAGUCUAACUGGGCCAGCGAUAAGUGUCAGAAGGAGAAGAGGAAGCAUGCACUUAUCCUGCAUUUUCAAAGGAGAAAGCGAGUGCACUAGUGUUGCCCACUGCCACAUUUGUCAAUUUGUCCUAAGAAAUGUAUUAGUUUCAUAAGCUUUUGAUGUUCAAGUAGAUAGGGCAUGUACUAGAAUGCUUUUCUUAUUUUAAUGUUGGCUUGGA